rnacentral:rRNA from 1 species
AGCGAACGCUGGCGGCAGGCCUAACACAUGCAAGUCGAACGAACUCUUCGGAGUUAGUGGCGGACGGGUGAGUAACACGUGGGAACGUGCCUUUUGGUUCGGAAUAACUCAGGGAAACUUGUGCUAAUACCGAAUGUGCCCUUCGGGGGAAAGAUUUAUCGCCAUUAGAGCGGUCCGCGUCUGAUUAGCUAGUUGGUGAGGUAACGGCUCACCAAGGCGACGAUCAGUAGCUGGUCUGAGAGGAUGACCAGCCACACUGGGACUGAGACACGGCCCAGACUCCUACGGGAGGCAGCAGUGGGGAAUCUUGCGCAAUGGGCGAAAGCCUGACGCAGCCAUGCCGCGUGAAUGAUGAAGGUCUUAGGAUUGUAAAAUUCUUUCACCGGGGACGAUAAUGACGGUACCCGGAGAAGAAGCCCCGGCUAACUUCGUG